GUGGAUGAAACAAUGACAAAAUGG
rnacentral:siRNA from 1 species